rnacentral:rRNA from 1 species
GACGAACGCUGGCGGCGUGCCUAAUACAUGCAAGUAGAACGCUGAAGGAGGAGCUUGCUUCUCUGGAUGAGUUGCGAACGGGUGAGUAACGCGUAGGUAACCUGCCUGGUAGCGGGGGAUAACUAUUGGAAACGAUAGCUAAUACCGCAUAAUAUUGACUAUUGCAUGAUAGUCAGUUGAAAGGUGCAACUGCACCACUACCAGAUGGACCUGCGUUGUAUUAGCUAGUUGGUGGGGUAACGGCUCACCAAGGCGACGAUACAUAGCCGACCUGAGAGGGGGAUCGGCCACACUGGGACUGAGACACGGCCCAGACUCCUACGGGAGGCAGCAGUAGGGAAUCUUCGGCAAUGGACGGAAGUCUGACCGAGCAACGCCGCGGGAGUGAAGAAGGUUGUCGGAUCGUAAAGCUCUGUUGUAAGAGAAGAACGAGUGUGAGAGUGGAAAGCUCACACUGUGACGGUAUCUUACCAGAAAGGGACGGCUAACUACGUG